AUUGAACGCUGGCGGCAGGCUUAACACAUGCACGUCGAGCGAGCGGCGGACGGGUGAGUAUUGUCUGGGAAACUGCCUGAUGGAGGGGGAUAACUACUGGAAACGGUCUCUAAUACCGCAUACCAUCAGAUGUGCCCAGAUUGGCUUAGCUAGUAGGUGGGGUAAUGGCUCACCUAGGCGACGAUCCCUAGCUGGUCUGAGAGGAUGACCAGCCACACUGGAACUGAGACACGGUCCAGACUCCUACGGGAGGCAGCAGUGGGGAAUAUUGCACAAUGGGCGCAAGCCUGAUGCAGCCAUGCCGCGUGUGUGAAGAAGGCCUGCGGGUUGUAAAGCACUUUCAGCGAGGGGGCGUUACAGACAGAAAAAGCACCGGCUAACUCCGUGCCAGCAGCCGCGGUAAUUC
rnacentral:rRNA from 1 species